AAGUGACAGCAGUCGCCGCGGGAAUACAGAGGGUGCGAGCGUUAAUCGGAUUUACUGGGCGUAAAGCGUGCGUAGGCGGCUUUUUAAGUCGGAUGUGAAAUCCCUGAGCUUAACUUAGGAAUUGCAUUCGAUACUGGGAAGCUAGAGUAUGGGAGAGGAUGGUAGAAUUCCAGGUGUAGCGGUGAAAUGCGUAGAGAUCUGGAGGAAUACCGAUGGCGAAGGCAGCCAUCUGGCCUAAUACUGACGCUGAGGUACGAAAGCAUGGGGAGCAAACAGGAUUAGAUACCCCAGUAGUCCCUGUCUCUUAUAC
rnacentral:rRNA from 1 species